UGCAAAAACUUCAUAUAUAUCCGACAUGGCCAGAGCCUCAGGCGCGGAGAGAAGUGGCGGCCGAGCCGGCAAGCCACCUCUUUCUUUUCAUUACCUUAGACUCCAGGAUGAUCGGCUUUGCCUGGUGGGAUUGUACAGCCUUUUCCUGGAGAAACUCCUAUAGAUGUUCCAGUAGGUGCUUAAGUGGUUUCCUGGGUGUAAGGCCAAAGGACCCGGUCUUAGGGUAGUGGAGAGUGAGGUGAAAGGCCCCCAAGCUCGGCAGAAGCCCUGCCCCAAGGAGCAUGAGAUACAAAGGUACCCAAAUGGGGCUCACCUGGUUUUAAGACCCUUGUGUGGGAAGAAGACAAACUGGAAAGAAGGCCAUCGGAGACCACUGGGAUACAUUUAGGCAAGGUUAAGUUCCCCCCCUCACCACCAUCCAAACCUGACCCAACCCUCAGCCACCAGACCCAGAACUGUGAGGGCCUCCUGCCAUACCAGCAAGACCCACCUUCAACUAGAAACAUCCCAGCCUGGACAUUGACAGAAAAGCAUAGUAGUUACUCAUUGCCUAACUCAAUUCAGGUCCGCCAGAUUCGGGUAACUUUUGGGUGACCCUGAUGAAGACAAAGCCAGGACAGGUCUUUGUAUG
rnacentral:lncRNA from 1 species